AUUUAUCUGAAGAACACUGGAGAACAUUUGGUUUAUUGUUGGAGAUCAGCCAGCAAGUAGAACUCUGUUAGUCUUGUUUUGUCUUUUGCAGAUUAGACUGGGGCAUGUGGAGAAAUGGGAAUCACACCUCAGGAAUGACUGGAAAUUGAUGGUCAGGAAUUUGUUGUAAAAAUCAGAUCAACAGGUGCAUGGAUGAACGUCCUUCCAAGAUACAAGAGUGGUGAUUGGCAUGGAUCGUGGAGAAACAGGGAAACACACGGAUGGGUGCAUGGAUGGAUGUCCUUCCAAGAGGAAGGGGAUGGUGGUGGGCAUAGAUUACAGUGAAAUAUACUUGAAGACCUGGAGCUCAGGAAGCAGGUAGAACUGAUUGAACAGACUGAACAAUGGAGUAAGAGUCCAAAGAAAUGUAUUAGGAAUAUUUAAAUACUUGAUAUCUUUCUCUUUGGCAGAUUGGUCAAAGGAAACA